GUGGGGAAUAUUGCACAAUGGGGGAAACCCUGAUGCAGCGAUGCCGCGUGGAGGAAGAAGGUUUUCGGAUUGUAAACUCCUGUCUUAAGGGACGAUAAUGACGGUACCUUAGGAGGAAGCUCCGGCUAACUACGUGCCAGCAGCCGCGGUAAUACGUAGGGAGCGAGCGUUGUCCGGAAUUACUGGGUGUAAAGGGAGCGUAGGCGGGAUCGCAAGUCAGAUGUGAAAACUAUGGGCUUAACCCAUAGACUGCAUUUGAAACUGCGGUUCUUGAGUGAAGUAGAGGUAAGCGGAAUUCCUAGUGUAGCGGUGAAAUGCGUAGAUAUUAGGAGGAACAUCGGUGGCGAAGGCGGCUUACUGGGCUUUUACUGACGCUGAGGCUCGAAAGCGUGGGGAGCAAACAGG
rnacentral:rRNA from 1 species